UACGUAGGAGGCGAGCGUUGUCCGGAUUUACUGGGCGUAAAGAACGCGUAGGCGGUUCGUUAAGUUUGGCGUAAAAUCUCCUGGCUCAACUGGGAGGGCGCACCGAAGACUGGCGGACUGGAGGGCAUCAGAGGAAAGCGGAACUCCCGGUGUAGUGGUGAAAUGCGUAGAGAUCGGGAAGAACACCUGUGGCGAAGGCGGCUGUCUGGGGUGUACCUGACGCUGAGGCGUGAAAGCGUGGGGAGCGAACCGG
rnacentral:misc_RNA from 1 species